GGGAGCCGUGUGACGGGAGACCGUCACGCACGGUUCUGCGAGCGGCGGCGGGUGAGAUCCCCGCCGCCGACUCACC
rnacentral:ncRNA from 1 species